UGUUCUGCCCGAUACUAAAUUUAUGUCCUGUCCUCUCCUAUGCAGUACAUUUGCUUGCUUAACCCUUUAAUUAUUACAGAUACCAAGUGCUCGUGGAGCAAAAGUGCUUGACUAGUUUUUUUUUACCACGGCCACGUUCCCAAUUGCUUCAGGAAUAUCAUCUCGUCAAAUUUUAGCUUUUCUAGGUUUCAUAUGAAACCCAUAAAUAUAGAAUCAGAGAUAAAGUUUUACCGUACAAGUACUGGACAGCCAGACGUUGACCUGCACAUAUGCUCUCAUCAAAUGAUUUGAUUUUGGCAACUAGAUAUCUUGAUGUUCUGGCAGGAUCGCAUGUUACUUUUAUUCUUGUCAUUUUUUCCAGAAUAACUACUUGACGAUUCAAGAUUUUAUGAAUAAAAUUGAAUCCAUUUCUUCCUUCCUUCCUUCUCAUUCUUUUUUUCUAUCCGAGAGAAGAGGUUCUCAACUCUUCACAUUCUCAAUUUCCAGCAACAAGAUAUCACAGAAAAUAAAAUUAAAAA